AAGAGCGCCUAAUCCUGUGCUUUUCUUUUGCUUCAUACUGCCUCAAUCGUAGGGUUUCUGGUCUCUGUUCCUUCUCUAAUGGGGCGACAUCGAAGCCGGAGCGUCAGCCCGCGGCGGUUCAGCCGGAGCCCUCCGCGCCGUAAGCGCUACGACGACCCCCGCGAACGCUUCCGCGGCGGCGGUGGUGGCGGCGGCGGACGGGACUACAGGGAUCGCCGCUCCUCCGGCCCCUCCGGCCUCCUCAUCCGGAACGUCGCCCUCGACGCUAGGUCGGAGGAUCUACGAAUGCCCUUUGAGCGCUUUGGCCCUGUGAAGGAUGUCUACCUUCCAAAAAAUUACUAUACAGGAGAGCCACGAGGCUUUGGAUUUGUCAAGUUCCGUUAUGCUGAAGAUGCUGCUGUAGCUAAGCAGCAUAUGAAUCAUCAGAUUAUUUGUGGGCGUGAGAUCUCAAUUGUAUACGCUGAAGAAAAUCGAAAAACUCCACAGGAAAUGCGUAUGAGUGCAAGGAUUAGUGAAAGAUACAUGGGAGGAAGCUACAGGAGACGAUCUCCACCGAGAUCUCCUGGUCGACGACGUCGCUCAUAUUCACGUUCACUUUCUCCACCAAGACGAGAGUCAAGGGAAGUUGAACUACUAUAUGUUGCUCAUGCAGAUCAUAAAAGUGAAAAGAGAUCCUAAAGUAUCAAGGGGUUAGUAAAGAGAAAAGAGAAAGAGACCCAAAUGUUAUUGGCUAGUUGAUUACCUUUUCUUGAAGCUAUUCAAGAAGCUUUUAUUAAUGCCCAUCUCCAUCAACAGUAAAUACAGAGAAACUACAAUCCAUAGUAUCUUUCUUUAAACAUUUUUUGUUACUUUUCUGGCAAUCUAAAGAUUGUUGCUUUGAUUUUGUAUACUAUCCAGUUAAGAAAGAAUCUAGAGCUUAAAAAGCCAAAAGAAAGAAUCAUGAUCUCCAGUGCAUAAAGCAAAAGAGGAAGUAUCAUGAUUUCCAGAGAAUGGGAGACCUUGAAAGUACACAUUGCUAGAGAGAGAGCAUUGUCUUGAUGGUGGUCAUAUACUUGUGUGGAAAGUAAUGAUAGUGUGCCCUAAGAAAGUUGAAGCAAAGAGCUUUGAAGUCAGCAGAUGCUGUUCGACCAACAAGUACACCAUUAAAGGCAUUAACUGAAACAUUUUUGGACAAAGUUUCAUAAUUUUGUUCCGAGAGUGAUAUACCACAGGGACCAUGACAGGAGUACACGUGAUGAUUACUACUCUCCGCCAAGAUCCAUCUCCCGAUCUCCUGAUGAUAGGGAUCAUGGGUUGCAUCAUCAGUCUUCGAGUCCCAAGGGCAAUGGACGAAGCCCAUCUAGGUCUCG